UACGUAGGGUGCAAGCGUUGUCCGGAAUUAUUGGGCGUAAAGAGCUCGUAGGCGGUUUGUCGCGUCUGCUGUGAAAACUGGAGGCUCAACCUCCAGCCUGCAGUGGGUACGGGCAAACUAGAGUGCGGUAGGGGAGAUUGGAAUUCCUGGUGUAGCGGUGGAAUGCGCAGAUAUCAGGAGGAACACCGAUGGCGAAGGCAGAUCUCCUGGGCCGUAACUGACGCUGAGGAGCGAAAGCCAGGGGAGCAAACGGG
rnacentral:rRNA from 1 species